UGCUGAUUGGCCAGGGCUAUGUUUGAAUUGUGCUGGCUCUGCCCCUGAUUUUUUCCUCUUUGCCAGUCUCAGCCAAUCCUAUGGGAAGGCAUUGUGAUUGGAUCAGGCUACCACUUCUGCUGUCAGUGGGCAGGUCUCAAGGAAACAGACAAAGCAAGCAGCUGCAGACUUGAAUACAAGUAAGAUUUUACUAUAUUUAGGGAGGCAUGAGGGGACCAGGGUGGCUAGAUGGUGGUUUUAACCCUAUAGGGUCAGGAAUACAUGUGUGUUCCUGACCUUAUAGUGCUCCUUUAAGCUAGUGUUCCUUUAAGUAUAAACCAAUAAUUGAAAAAAGUAUCCAUGGAUUUAUAUAGCGUAUAAACAGAGCGAGCCCUGGUUCUCUUGUCCCUCUAAUAAUAUUCCCAGAAGAGGGGAUAGCCGACUCCAGCCUCCUACAGGGAAAAGUGUGUGUGUGUACAUACACACA